GCAAGUCGAACGCAUCCUUCGGGAUGAGUGGCAGACGGGUGAGUAACACGUGGGAACGUGCCCUCCGGUCUGGGAUAACCCUGGGAAACUAGGGCUAAUACCGGAUACGUGCUUUGGCAGAAAGGUUUACUGCCGGAGGAUCGGCCCGCGUCUGAUUAGCUAGUUGGUGGGGUAACGGCCUACCAAGGCGACGAUCAGUAGCUGGUCUGAGAGGAUGAUCAGCCACACUGGGACUGAGACACGGCCCAGACUCCUACGGGAGGCAGCAGUGGGGAAUAUUGGACAAUGGGCGCAAGCCUGAUCCAGCCAUGCCGCGUGAGUGAUGACGGCCUUAGGGUUGUAAAGCUCUUUUCUCCGGGACGAUAAUGACGGUACCGGAGGAAUAAGCCCCGGCUAACUUCGUGCCAGCAGCCGCGGUAAUACGAAGGGGGCUAGCGUUGCUCGGAAUCACUGGGCGUAAAGGGCGCGUAGGCGGCGUUUUAAGUCGGGGGUGAAAGCCUGUGGCUCAACCACAGAAUGGCCUUCGAUACUGGGACGCUUGAGUAUGGUAGAGGUUGGUGGAACUGCGAGUGUAGAGGUGAAAUUCGUAGAUAUUCGCAAGAACACCGGUGGCGAAGGCGGCUAACUGGACCAUUACUGACGCUGAGGCGCGAA
rnacentral:rRNA from 1 species